AAAUAAGAAACAAAUUAUUGUAUUUAGUUUCGACCUAAAAUUUGACUUAUGUCCUUAUUUU
rnacentral:tRNA from 1 species